GAAUAUUGAUGGGCUUUUAGUCAAACUUGAAAAAAGAUGGACUGAAACAAAUUCCUUUCACUAAAAUCCAAUCAUCUUCGUCCCUAGUAAUGUGGAUGAAGCAUCAUUUCAAGCAUCACGAGAGACGACACGUGAAGGAGAAACCAUGAGGCAACAAUAAGCGGACAAAGCAGCAUAAGAGUGACGACAAGCAGAGGAAGUAGCACAAGAGCGACGGCAUGCAGAGGAGGCAGCAUGAGAGCAACAAUAAGCGAAAGAGGUAGCACGAGAGUGACGGCAGGCAAAGGAGGCAGCAUCGCCGAUAAGUCCAGGCGGAAGCAACAAUGAGAGCAAUGACAGUGGCAAGUGACACGAAACCAAAAAAAAAUUGUAGAUGGCGGUGCCCUUUAUUGCUGUAAUUGCUUUUUUUUUUUUGUUCAAGGAUAUUUGAGAUUGCCUCUAUCUGGUUACUUUUUUCUUUCAAUUUUUUCUUCUGC
rnacentral:lncRNA from 1 species